rnacentral:rRNA from 1 species
UUUUGCGCAAUGGGCGAAAGCCUGACGCAGCAACGCCGCGUGUGUGAUGAAGGUUUUCGGAUCGUAAAGCACUUUCGACCGGGACGAACACCCCUGAGUUAAUAUCUCAGGGCCUGACGGUACCGGGAGAAGAAGCACCGGCUAACUCUGUGCCAGCAGCCGCGGUAAUACAGAGGGUGCAAGCGUUGUUCGGAAUUAUUGGGCGUAAAGCGCGUGUAGGCGGCCUUGCAAGUCGGGUGUGAAAGCCCUCAGCUUAACUGAGGAAGUGCGCCCGAAACUGCAGAGCUCGAGUACCGGAGAGGAUGGUGGAAUUCCCCAAGUAGAGGUGAAAUUCGUAGAUAUGGGGAGGAACACCGGUGGCGAAGGCGACCAUCUGGACGGAUACUGACGCUGAGACGCGAAAGCGUGGGUAGCAAACA